rnacentral:lncRNA from 1 species
UUCAUAAAAUGCAUAGGUUAGAUUUUAGUAGGUAUAGAAAUUUGAAUGUUUGAAGAGAAGAAGGAUGUGGGAGAGUUUAUUGGGUCAUGCAGUAUAGCAUAUGCAAAUGGAAGAGUGAGAAAAGAAGGAAGUUGGAUAAUUAGAUGAUGUUAUGUUGUGGUUGGUGAGGGAGUUAUUGUUACGUGAACAUUAAAAGUUAAAAAGGUAAAUAUUAAAUGUAAGAAAGGGUAAUUUUGGAAUAAGAGAAAAAUUGGGGAGGUGCAGGGAGCACUUGGGGUGGUGGAGGGAGCAACUCUCAAUGGAUUGUAGGAUAGGUUGGGCGUUGAUUGAUCUGUGACCCGUUAACAUGAAGUAAAAUGGGCUAGCUUGUGACUCGUAUCAAAGUUUUUUGUUUAGAGUUUUUUCAACUUUAGUAAUAAUUAACAUAAAUAAUGAAACCAAAUUUUU